rnacentral:rRNA from 1 species
CACGCCGUAAACGAUGGAUACUAAGUGUUGGGAUAGAAUCUCAGUGCUGUAGUUAACGCAAUAAGUAUCCCGCCUGGGGAGUAUGCGCGCAAGCGUAAAACUCAAAGGAAUUGACGGGGACCCGCACAAGCGGUGGAGUAUGUGGUUUAAUUCGAUGCAACGCGAAGAACCUUACCUGGUCUUGACAUACCACGCAAAAGCUUAGAGAUAAGUAAUAGUUAUGGUGGAUACAGGUGG